UCUGCAAACAUGAAAGAAGAGAAAGUGAUAAGUUUCAGACAUUAUUGCAUCUUUUUUCAAAUAAGGAGACACCACGCAACAGGUUUCUUCUUUAUGAUAAUUGUCCAUUUAUCUGAUAACUCAAUUAUGAACUUUCUUUUGUUCCCACUUGUAAGUUUGAUACUGUACUUUAUUUCAUUCCUGUAGUCUAUAUGUAUGUGAGUGCAUUUCUUACAGGCAGAGUGUUUUUAUGGUGUCAUUACUUGGCUCAAAUUGCUGACCAGAUGAAUCGGCCAACAUGCAAAUGCCCCUCUCAAAGCAAGUAAAAUACCUUAUCUGAGCAGCCUGUAUUGAACUGAGGUUUGUUAGCAUGAAAAAAUCAUCUAAUUUACGAGAUGGCCAAGUUUCAAGUCUCGAAAGGUAAGAUGCAAAACUUUGAUUCUCUGCAGAAGCCACCAAACAAGAGAGCAGGUGAUAGCAAUCUUUACAAGUCAGACCUACAGCCUGUUCAUCACAGCACUGCUGUGGUCACAUACGUGUUUGCAACAUGGUGUCCGUUAAAAUAAGCAGACUGCACAUCUAAAUGAAAUCUCUAGUCCAGGUCACAUGUAACUACAACCCUGCAAAGGAGUCGCGAAUGUGAGAAUUGAACCCCAACAACCCCAAAAAGCUGCAACAAGUGAUUGAAGGAUAUUAGAUGCGACUUGGAAAAAGCAAAUUGCGAAUAAGCUUUACGCUCCGAAGCAGUCAUCCUGAUUAAAGUGUAUAGCUCUGGAUCAGCCAGCGACAAGUCAUUGAAGAAUAUUACGUGCAACUCGGUAAAAGCUUUACACUACCAAGCACAAAUGGUCAUCCUGGUUAAAGUAUACAACUCUUAAUCACCCAGCACUGUAUUCAAACAAACGCAAGAAAUGAAACUGGAGUACGUCUAUUGCCAUUCUUGUUUGUCAUGGCAAAGACAAAGUACUCGGUGUGUUGACCCUGAAAAGAAUGCCAACAGUUGCAGCACACUCUGGCCGCUACACGUACCCUAUGGAGAGAGCUGUACAAGUGCCAACGUAGCUUCAAGGGCUGCCUUGAUGUGCCAUGUGCACCUUCAACUGAACAGCAUGACCAAGCAAGAAACCAUAAGUGGCGUAUAAAAGGUGAAAAAAUUCUUGCAAAAUGUCGGCACUGGUUCUGUCGCUGUGCUAUUACUGGGGUUGUGGAAACUGCUCCACAUAAAUGAACAAUCCUGUGCCCAGAACCAACAUGACCGAUGGCAGUGACCCAACGUUACGCUGACAUCUUUCAAAGCAGAGUCGAAGCAACAGAAACGAAUGUAGUUGCAUCCACAAAUAAACAAUCAUGGCUUUAUUAUGUA